AGCGAACGCCGGCGGCAGGCCUAACACAUGCAAGUCGAACGAAGCCUUCGGGCUUAGUGGCGGACGGGUGAGUAACACGUGGGAACGUACCUUUUGGUUCGGAACAACUCAGGGAAACUUGAGCUAAUACCGGAUGAGCCCUUAGGGGGAAAGAUUUAUCGCCGAAAGAGCGGCCCGCGUUAGAUUAGCUAGUUGGUGAGGUAAAGGCUCACCAAGGCAACGAUCUAUAGCUGGUCUGAGAGGAUGAUCCGCCACACUGGGACUGAGACACGGCCCAGACUCCUACGGGAGGCAGCAGUGGGGAAUCUUGCGCAAUGGGCGAAAGCCUGACGCAGCCAUGCCGCGUGAAUGAUGAAGGUCUUAGGAUUGUAAAAUUCUUUUACCAGGGACGAUAAUGACGGUACCUGGAGAAAAAGCCCCGGCUAACUUCGUGCCAGCCGCCGCCGUAAAAC
rnacentral:rRNA from 1 species